UUAUAAGUUGGUCACAGGCCCCUUCGGGCUCAUCUAACAUAUACAAACAUAAAGGGUACAUCAACUCAUGGGCCCAGAGGGACCAGUAAACAACGUGUUUAUCUUAACGAACACCUCAGUGUUAAUUUUGAACUGUUUGAAGAACGGUUAUGAAAUGGCAAUA